UGCAGUCGGGCGAUCCUUUUAUUGGCUCUGCAUUUUGACGCAAGGAGAAAUGCAGGAUCGGUUUUAGGAUAGCGGCAGACGGGUGAGUAACACGUGGGUAAUUUACCUCUAUAUUGGGGAUAGCCUUACGAAAGCGAGGGUAAUACCUAAUGUGUCCAGUUCUACUUAAGUAGAACUGGGUAAAGGCAUCCGUAAGGAUGUUGUAUAGAGAUGAGCUCGCGCCUUGUCAGCUAGUUGGUAGGGUAAUGGCCUACCAAGGCUUUUGACGGGUAGCUGGCCUUAGAGGGCGGUCAGCCACAUGGGGACUGAGACACUGCCCCGACUCCUACGGGAGGCUGCAGUCGAGGAUAUUUAGCAAUGAGCGAAAGCUUGACUAUGCGACGCCGCGUGAGGGAUGAAGGUUUUCGGAUCGUAAACCUCUUUCAAUGGGGAAGAAUAUAGACGGUACCCAGAGAAGAAGCCACGGCUAACUCCGUGCCAGCAGCCGCGGUAAUACGGAGGUGGCUAGCGUUACUCGGAUUUACUGGGUGUAAAGGGCAGGUAGGCGUCUCGAUAAGUUCUUGGUGAAAUCCUUCUGCUUAACAGAAGAACUGCCAGGAAAACUAUCGGGAUUGAGGCUAGAAGAGGAGAGUGGAAUUCUCGGUGUAAGGUUGAAAUCUGUAGAUAUCGAGAGGAACACCAGUAGCGAAAGCGGCUCUCUGGUAUAGACCUGACGCUGAUCUGCGAAAGCUAGGGGAGCAAACAGGAUUAGAUACCCUGGUAGUCCUAGCUAUAAACGAUGAGCACUAGGUGUUGGUCCUGAAUAAGGGCCAGCGUCGUAA
rnacentral:rRNA from 1 species